CAGUCGAACGCGUGUAGCAAUACACGAGUGGCGCACGGGUGAGUAACGCGUGGAUAUCUGCCUUUUGGUUCGGAAUAACCCCGGGAAACUGGGGCUAAUACCGGAUGGUUCCUUCGGGAUAAAGAUUUAUCGCCAAAAGAUGAGUCCGCGUACGAUUAGCUAGUUGGUGAGGUAAUGGCUCACCAAGGCGACGAUCGUUAGCUGGUCUGAGAGGACGAUCAGCCACACUGGGACUGAGACACGGCCCAGACUCCUACGGGAGGCAGCAGUGGGGAAUAUUGGACAACGGGGGCAACCCUGAUCCAGCCAUGCCGCGUGAGUGAUGAAGGCCUUCGGGUUGUAAAGCUCUUUUGGCGGGGACGAUGAUGACGGUACCCGCAGAAUAAGCCCCGGCUAACUUCGUGCCAGCAGCCGCG
rnacentral:rRNA from 1 species